rnacentral:rRNA from 1 species
UACGUAGGGCGCAAGCGUUAUCCGGAAUUAUUGGGCGUAAAGAGCUCGUAGGCGGUUUGUCGCGUCUGCCGUGAAAGUCCGGGGCUCAACUCCGGAUCUGCGGUGGGUACGGGCAGACUAGAGUGAUGUAGGGGAGAGUGGAACUCCUGGUGUAGCGGUGAAAUGCGCAGAUAUCAGGAGGAACACCGAUGGCGAAGGCAGGUCUCUGGGCAUUAACUGACGCUGAGGAGCGAAAGCAUGGGGAGCGAACAGG